GGAGUCGACUUAGACUAGAUCAAGCUAGCUUGGGACCCUGAGAGAGCUAGCUCGGAUAUGAAACAGUGAGUGGAUUUCACUAGCAUGCUCGAUGGCAUGAUAGUCGAGCUGGCUCAAGGUCUAACUGAGCCGGCUUGAACUGAGAACAUACUGGUGUGUGGAUUCUGAUUUCAGUUAGGAUUUAUUUCAAUACUAGGGGUCU
rnacentral:lncRNA from 1 species